rnacentral:lncRNA from 1 species
UGAUUUAAUAAGAAAAAGAUUUUAUACGAGAUUUAUAGCACAGGAAAUAGUAUUUCCAAACCCUAAAGAGGUUUCCAUAAACCACUGAGAAGAGUAUUUUCAAUCCUAAGAGCUUUUGAUUAAGCAUUGUGAAGAGUAUUCACAAAACCCAGAAGCUUCCGCUACAUCAGUUCUCCUUCUUCUUCUCUACAUCAGCUUCCUUGUGUUUCUUAUCUUUCUUCUGCUUCUUCGUUGGUGGCUCAGCAGCUGACGAAACAUCAACUUUCGUUCUCUUGUUCUUGUUCUUGUUCUCAUUCAUCUGCACAUCCCAAAAACCUCAAACAAACCUACCAGCAUAUAUGUCUGAUAUCAAUUUCACAAAUUGUGGGUCCUCUGCUUCACCCGGCCAUUGAGGAAACAGAUCUUGUAGAGAGUCCUUCAUAACCAUUUUCUUCACAUGCACCUACAAAAGUAACUCAUAAUUCAGCCAUCAUAUGGGUAAUAACUCAGCCAUCAAAACCACAUAAAUCAGUCAACAAUAACUAAUAACUCAGCCAUCAAAACCUCAUAACUCAACCAUCAAUAACUUAUAACUCAGCCACCAAUCACUCAUAACUCAGUCACAAAAUAAAUAAAAACUCAUCCAUCAAUACAUACCUCGCCAUGAUCUCUAAUCUCCUCAGAGAUGACAGUAGUAAAACU